rnacentral:rRNA from 1 species
CCUACGGGGGGCAGCAGUGAGGAAUAUUGGUCAAUGGACGAGAGUCUGAACCAGCCAAGUAGCGUGAAGGAUGACUGUCCUAUGGGUUGUAAACUUCUUUUAUAUGGGAAUAAAAUGUUCCACGUGUGGGAUUUUGUAUGUACCAUAUGAAUAAGGAUCGGCUAACUCCGUGCCAGCAGCCGCGGUAAUACGGAGGAUCCGAGCGUUAUCCGGAUUUAUUGGGUUUAAAGGGAGCGUAGGUGGAUUGUUAAGUCAGUUGUGAAAGUUUGCGGCUCAACCGUAAAAUUGCAGUUGAAACUGGCAGUCUUGAGUACAGUAGAGGUGGGCGGAAUGCGUGGUGUAGCGGUGAAAUGCUUAGAUAUCACGAAGAACUCCGAUUGCGAAGGCAGUUCACUGGACUGCAACUGACACUGAGGCUCGAAAGUGUGGGUAUCAAACAGGAUUAGAUACCCGGGUAGUC